GCCGUUCUCAGUUCGGAUCGGAGUCCGCAACCCGACUCCGUGAAGCUGGAUUCGCUAGUAAUCGCGCAUCAGCCAUGGCGCGGUGAAUACGUUCCCGGGCCUUGUACACACCGCCCGUCACACCAUGGGAGUCGGAUAUGCCCGAAGCCGGUGACCUAACCGCAAGGAAGGAGCCGUCGAAGGUGGAGCCGAUGACGUGGGGUGAAGUCGUAACAAGGUAAC
rnacentral:rRNA from 1 species